GGAGAGAUGGUUGAGAGGACCAAAGUGGUGGAUUGCUAAUUCGUAGUACGGAUUAUCCAUACAAAGGAUUCAAAUCCCUCUCUCUUCA
rfam:Picea glauca, whole genome shotgun sequence.